CUACGGGACGCUGCAGUAAGGAAUCUUCCGCAAUGGACGAAAGUCUGACGGAGCGACACCGCGUGCAGGAUGACACCCCUCGGGGCGUAAACUGCUUUUCUGAGGGACAAAGUUCUGAUAUUACCUCAGGAAUAAGCACCGGCUAACUACGUGCCAGCAGCCGCGGUAAUACGUAGGGUGCAAGCGUUAUCCGGAAUUACUGGGCGUAAAGCGUCCGCAGCUUGAUUUGUAAGUCUGAUGUUAAAUCCCGGAGCUCAACUCCGGACUCGUAUCGGAAACUGCAGAUCUAGAGUAGUGUAGAGGUGCGUGGAAUUUGUGGUGUAGGGGUAAAAUCCGUUGAUACCACAAGGAACACCAAAAGCGAAGGCAGCGUACUGGGCACUUACUGACAGUCAGGGACGAAAGCGUGGGGAGCAAAAAGGAUUAGAUACCCGCGUAGUC
rnacentral:rRNA from 1 species